UUAUCAUUUAGAGGAAGGAGAAGUCGUAACAAGGUUUUCGUAAGUGAACCUGCAGAAGGAUCAUUGUCGAAACCUGCACAGUUGAACAACUCACGAACUAGUGACAACCGACUGGGGGUGGGGGGCAGGGACCUCGCAUCCCUGCACAUAAACAGAACCCCAGUGCGGAAUGCGCCAAGGAAAUCAAACCAAGAGAGCCACGCCGGAGGCCCCGGACACGGUGUGCCCCCAGCAUCGACGUCUUAUGAAUUAUCCAAAACGACUCUCGACAAGGGAUAUCUAGGCUCUCGCAUCAAUGAAGAAUGUAGGGAAAUGUGAUACUUGGUGUGAAUUGCAGAAUCCAGCGAAUCAUCGAGUUUUUAAACGCAUGUUGUGCUUAAAGCCAUUCGGCCAAGGGCACGUCUACUUGGGUGUCAUGCAUUGUCGCCCACUAAACUCUAGUUCGGGCAAGGCGGAAGUUGGUUUCCCAUGAGUUCUUGUGUGCGCAGUUAGCCCAAAAGCAAGUCCUUGGCGACGAGCACCACGACAAUCAGUGGUUUUUCGACCUUCGUUCCCUGUCGUGCGCACCCCGUCGCCGGAAUACGCUUUCAAGACCCUCACACGUCGCCUCGGCGGCUCUCCCAACGUAACCCUAGGUUAGGCAAGACUACACACUGAGUUUAAGCAUAUCAA
rnacentral:misc_RNA from 1 species